rfam:Phoenicopterus ruber ruber contig96250, whole genome shotgun sequence.
CAAAGGCUCUUUUAAGAGCCACUACGUACACAGUAAAGGAGCUGU